UGCCUGCUGUAGUCCAGCCCUCCCACAUUACCAAUUGGGGGAGACUGAGUCCCAGAGCCCAGCGUGUAUAGGGGUUCCUCCCCAGUCUUCUCAGGAAGCCAGCUGGUUUGGGUUUUCUCCAAGAAGGAUUUGCAUUCAGGGCAGGGCCACCCAAAGGAUGUGGCAUUAUGAAACUAAGUGUGACUCUCCAAGAUCAGAGACUAUCAGUCCUGAAAGGAACACGGAUGACUCGAAAGAUGGCCGCAUCACCAAAAGCCUCCCCUCCCCGCAACACGGAAUCCCCUUCAGCUACAGUCCCAUCUCUUCCGUACUCUAGGACCACCAUGUGUAGCUGGGGAGGGGAGAGCAGGAGGACGUGAGAGGCAGCUGUCUCAGAUGGAUCUGUUGGGAGGACAGCACCUCACAGCGAGCUCUUGUCCCAGAUGUUCACAUUUCCGAUGGCCCCGUUUUACUAGAAUGUUCCCACUGACUGAAACAGAGCUCCUGAACAUUUUAGGUGACAAGUGGGAAAACUCAGGGACAACAUACAACGACCUCACUCUAUGCAAAGUCAACAUAAACCAAGGCCAAGCAUCGUACGUCUUUUUCUUGCUCCUCCAAAGAAAUUAAACAUCGCUGUAGCCAGCA